AAGAAAGUGAGUUAAAAACAGACACAAUCUUCUGAGCAAAGCCAAAGGAUUCUGCUGGUCACACAACAGUCCUCCACACAGCUGGAGGAUUUGACUGGCCUAUGUCAACCCAAGGUUAAACCUGAGAGAAUGAUGCCAUAAAAUCAUCAAGACUCUUUCUCUCUCUCUCUCUCUCUCUCUCUCUCUUACAAAACACACACACACACACACACACACACACACACACCAUGAACAGACUUUUCAUCUUCAUUCACCAAUGUCACCCAAAGAUGCUAAAUAUAUCUGACCACUCCUCAUCACACAGGCAUUUCAAGUAUUUGCUUGAAACAGUACACAUUACCUACCCAAAACACUCUUCCCAUGCAUUUCACAUAGACCGGAUUAGAAACCAUCUGCACACACACAGACAAACCGAAAAUAACAUCUUUCUAUGUGACUCUUGCUAGCAAAGAAGAAGAAUAGAUGAUUCCAGCGAGAAGGCUAACGUGCUAAUUACAGGAGUAUAUUUGGUAGUGAAACCACCCAGUCUUCUGUGGCGGAGGCCGUCCAGCGGACACGAUUUCCCACACGGUCUGGAGAGCCCUGUGGUGUGUGGUUAGAGAGAAGAGGACAGCGGAGAUGGACUCUCUCUAGAGUACGGGUGUGUCUCUGAAUCUCUUUCUAUGGACCUGUCUUUGAGUGUGUGUGUGUGCAAAUCGAUAUGUAUUACUAUGUUCCCGUAUAAUAACAGAUGUAUGUACUUGUAUGUGUGCCAGAGAGAUAGUCGCACAGCAUGCUGGAGAGUGUAGAGGGUGUAAUUACAUGGUAAUGCACCUUAGUGCAUGUUUGUGGACAUUUGUUUGUUUGUCUGUGUGUGUGUGUGUGUGUGUGUGUGUACACAUAAACUCAUACUUUGUGA